CAAUUGUUCCCACAAGUUGGUCACACACUCGGACAAGUUGCCAGAGAACUGCAGGCGGUUCCCACAGCCCAGCGCAGGCUAUCGCACAGCUCACGCAGAAGCACCGGCAGAGGUGGGUGACAGCGUCAUGGAGGAUUAACAAGCAAGGUGGCUGAAACUGAAACAGGUAAACAGCCAAGGCCACAGAAUGAAAUUCAUGCAUUUCCAAAUUGCUUACUAUUGAAGCAGCAACCCCAAGCUGCAAUCCAUACGUGGCUGCAAGCACAAGAGGGCAGGCUGCUGCACGCUAUGGAUCUCGCCAACAACAGAGGUCUCAACUUGCUACUCAAUUUUCUGCUUAUUGUCUUGGUCCUGGUGCUCGCCUUUAUCCUCGUGAAGCUGAUGUGAAUCUCUGCAACCUUCGGUUUUCCUCUCAAAUCCUGCUCUGAGGGCUUUCUUCACAAUGAUAACUUAAACACUUUAAACUAUCUAAGCAUAAACAUGGAAAUGCUGCAUAGGCUGAAAUAUCUGACAGCUGGAGAAAGUGUUCACAUACGUAUCUUAACAGAAAGCCAUCCUAAAAGCUACACAUAAUUAUGGACCUGCCGUUGACUAAAGGAAGCCUACAGUGCCCUGCUGAGUACAAGAAGAAAUCCAAAUAUGUCUAAGCAGUUACUGUAGUUUUCUCACUGCUACAAUUGCUUCAUACUUAGAAAAGCUAUGAAAGAUCUGCACCCUUCAACGAAGAUAAUUUCUGCAGUGAGGAGAACAGAAAUCAAAUUCUAAAAAUAGGAUUUCCCCCAACAGCAUCCUUCACAGGGAGGAACGUAAAAACGCGACAGGAAGGCAGAACGAAACACCUACAUCUCGUUGACAACAAGUACCAAAUUACUUGGGGAAAGCAAAAGCACAGAUGCUGCAGGCUUGAAGGGCAUACCCAGCAGCAGCAGCUUGCAGCAGCCGACAUGCUGACAGGUUCAGCUCAAAUGCGAAAGUGCAAUUAUUAGUUACACCUUGUCUGACACACACAGUCCACAGCAACACCUUAUAAGCCAAAAGCCAUUACUGUUAGGCAGCAGGAUCAAAAGAAGGAGCUGUCAAAGAAAACAAAGAUCAGAAAAGGGGAGAGAACAGCUGUUAACAAGGGCUGUGUGUCUGCCUGGGAAGCCUUUACCACGGCCACGUGAGCAGUAGGUUCAUCUGCACGAGAGCAGGCAGCGUGCUACAUCCUCGACAAGCUGGAUUUACCACUUCCGCACAGGCCAAGCGCGGGGCAGGGGCGCCCUCAAGCCGUACCUGACAUGCCACAGGUCACUCGUCCAUCCGGUUCACCCAGUCCACAGCUGGUCCCCAGGGCACAUGACUGUUUCUAGGAUGGGCUACUUCUCCGUGGUCCCUGGGAAGGUCUGUGCCCAAAACCGGCCUGCUUCUACUGGAGUUAUUUGCCCAGAAGGUAGCCACGUUGCUCCAUGCACCUGAGCUACGUCAAGAGAAAUGCAGUGCCAAGAAGUAGAUGACACGCAUUACUUGAGGGCCAAGCAGCACCUCUUUUUCCCAGGGGCAAUUUGGGAGCAGAGAUGGCAACAGGGGUGGCCUGUGCAGUUAAGCUGAAAGAGUUGGAAGAGGAAAAGAUUUUUCCACAGGGAAAAAAAAAUACAAUAUGCCUGGGGAAAGCAACAGUUUGGGUCCUGUCCCGUAGGACACCCACCUGUCCUACCAGUAAUGAGCACUUGUGCUGCACUCCAGAUUAUCUGCUCCAAAUCUUAGACAACAUUAGAUGGGACCGCAUGGAGAGUUAAAAUGGAAGUUUUGCUCUCCUCUGCUCUGAAAUCCAUGCAAUAAACAUUUCAAAUAGCUCCUGCAAAAUACCAAUCUAGAGCUUUUUUAGGUUAGUAUAGUCCUAUCAAUUCCUGUACCUAUUGUCUGUGUGCAUUUAAAGCAGAAAAAGUUGCACAGCUACUUCACUGUAAGCACUUUAUCACUUUUUUUGAUUAUCUGGAAAUAGUCUGCUUUUUAAAAAAAAUCUCUACAUGUAUAUACAAGAGAUAAUAUGUAACUGUAUUGUUACAAUAUGUAUGUCAGAGGAUUUCUGCUAGUGCUUGACACACACAAGAAAUGGCAUGAACACACCAAAACCCACAGAAAAUGAUAUAAAGCCUACUCUAGCUGAAAGAAAAAUACAACCCCACAGUUUUCCCAAUGAAAUGGCUGCUCACAUGCAUACUGCUCAGGAUUGUACAGAGCUGAUUUGCUGUAUGCUCGUAUGCUUCUCUAUACAGACAAAAAAGUUUCCUCACUUAAGGCAGCAAUAGUGAUAAUCCAAUAGUUAAAAACAGUUAAAUGCAAUGGCGGGGGGGGGGGGGAGUUAAAUCACACAUUCCCUUUUAAUGGAAGGCAAAAGCAGAGCCUACAGGCAGCCCCGAUAUGUACUCCCAAAUCCAAAAUCCCAUGCAAAGACACUCGACAGUAAACUCUGCCGUUGGCAUGCAGCUACCAGCCCCGGAAACAACUCUAGCAACUUUCUCUCAGCCAACAACAAAAAUUACAGACUUUAAAAAUGAAAAAUGUUGAAACACACUGCUGAAACCGAAACAUGAAUUUUCCUAAGAUGUCACAUAAAAUUGGCUAAGUUACCAGGAUACCAAUGCUGUCUGCUGUUAAAUGCCAAGUCUCUUUUUUUGCAAUCAAGCACAGUCUAAGUUCGGUUUACCAUCAUCUGGUAGCACUUACUACAGACUGAGCCCACACAUUCAUGAGAUUGAAACAAAUCCCAGCUGUCAGACUCCCAAUUUCACAGCAAAAGACAGAACAUAAAAGCAACUUAGCUGAGGCACGCAGUGAAUACGAGCUCAUUACGUUAACCGACGGUGGUAAUUCUUCAUGUUAAAAAUUUUUGUUUUGCUGAAAAGUGUAGUUUCAUCAAAAUGUGACAGAGGAAAAAUGUUGAUAUUGAUCCUUUCCAGUUUUCUGAUCAGCCAGGAUCAUAAGAAAAAUGUCAACUCAAAACUAGCUGAAAAAUAAAAGUUUUCUGUAGCAAUAA